rnacentral:rRNA from 1 species
AGUGAACGCUGGCGGUAGGCCUAACACAUGCAAGUCGAACGGCAGCACAGUAAGAGCUUGCUCUUACGGGUGGCGAGUGGCGGACGGGUGAGGAAUACAUCGGAAUCUACUUUUUCGUGGGGGAUAACGUAGGGAAACUUACGCUAAUACCGCAUACGACCUACGGGUGAAAGCAGGGGAUCUUCGGACCUUGCGCGAUUGAAUGAGCCGAUGUCGGAUUAGCUAGUUGGCGGGGUAAAGGCCCACCAAGGCGACGAUCCGUAGCUGGUCUGAGAGGAUGAUCAGCCACACUGGAACUUAGACACGGUCCAGACUCCUACGGGAGGCAGAAGUGGGGAAUAUUGGACAAUGGGCGCAAGCCUGAUCCAGCCAUACCGCGUGGGUGAAGAAGGCCUUCGGGUUGUAAAGCCCUUUUGUUGGGAAAGAAAAGCAGCAGGUUAAUACCCCGCUGUUCUGACGGUACCCAAAGAAUAAGCACCGGCUAACUUCGUG